rnacentral:tRNA from 1 species
GCCUGGGUCGCAUAGUGGCUAUUGCAGCAGAUUUGUAAUCUGCCGAGUUAAUCCUCAUCGCGGGUUCGAGUCCCGCUCCAGGCU